UACGUAGGGGGCAAGCGUUGUCCGGAAUCAUUGGGCGUAAAGCGCGUGUAGGCGGUCCGGUAAGUCCGCUGUGAAAGUCGGGGGCUCAACCCUCGGAUGCCGGUGGAUACUGUCGGGCUUGAGUACGGAAGAGGCGAGUGGAAUUCCUGGUGGUAGCGGUGAAAUGCGCAGAUAUCAGGAGGAACACCAAUUGCGAAGGCAGCUCGCUGGGACGUUACUGACGCUGAGACGCGAAAGCGUGGGGAGCAAACAGG
rnacentral:rRNA from 1 species